rnacentral:rRNA from 1 species
UACGUAGGGACCGAGCGUUGUCCGGAAUCAUUGGGCGUAAAGAGCGUGUAGGCGGCCCCUUAAGUCCUGCGUGAAAUCCUGCGGCUCAACCGCAGACGGUCGUGGGAAACUGGAGGGCUAGAGUGCGGGAGAGGAGAGUGGAAUUCCCGGUGUAGCGGUGAAAUGCGCAGAUAUCGGGAAGAACACCCGUGGCGAAGGCGGCUCUCUGGAACGCAACUGACGCUGAGACGCGAAAGCGUGGGGAGCAAGCAGG